UACGUAGGGUGCGAGCGUUAAUCGGAAUUACUGGGCGUAAAGCGUGCGUAGACGGCUAUCUAAGUCGCGUGUGAAAGCCCCCCGGCUCAACUGGGGGAGGGUCACGCGAUACUGUUCGACUCGAAGGCAGGAGAGGGAAGUGGAAUUCCCGGUGUAGUGGUGAAAUGCGUAGAUAUCGGGAGGAACACCAGUGGCGAAGGCGACUUCCUGGCCUGUUCUUGACGCUGAGGCGCGAAAGCUAGGG
rnacentral:rRNA from 1 species